GCGUGAGUGAAGAAGGCCUUAGGGUUGUAAAGCUCUUUCAGCGGGGAAGAUAAUGACGGUACCCGCAGAAGAAGCCCCGGCUAACUCCGUGCCAGCAGCCGCGGUAAGACGGAGGGGGCUAGCGUUGCUCGGAAUUACUGGGCGUAAAGCGCGCGUAGGCGGUACAGCAAGUUGGGCGUGAAAGCCCAGGGCUCAACCCUGGAAUUGCGCUCAAAACUGCUGCACUAGAGUUCGGGAGAGGAGAGUGGAAUUCCCAGUGUAGAGGUGAAAUUCGU
rnacentral:rRNA from 1 species